rnacentral:lncRNA from 1 species
UUGAUCUCGGGGAAUUAUCGUAACUGCUGUAUUGAUCAUUAACCUGGUUCUUGUAAAAUUCGUUAAGAGUUGAUUUAGGUUUUCACCAAUACGUAUUCCAUUCUGUUAAACUACCAAGAAUACUCCCAACUACACCCUUACAAUCAAACAAACUAUAAAAUCAUCAGAAGAUCCAGAAUAAUAAAGUGCAUGCUUAAUUAUCGGAAGAAGUAGAAUCAGGAAGUUUGUUAAUUCAAUCCUGCAUGCUGAUUGUAAUUACAAUAGAUUGGAGCAAGGAUUGGAUCCGACACUAAAGGACUUCAAGAAGUGGCUUAUUUUAUUAAUUAAAUCAAUUAAGAAAUAUUGUUUUUAUUAAAAGCUACCUUUGUAAAACAUGGAAUUUAUUCCAUCUUUUUAAAUAAAAUCCGGUGUUUCUAAACUCUGAUAUUUUUCCUAACUCACGGUCCUGAUGAAAUUUCCGCU